GGGCGUGGCCUGCGCUCGGUGGAUAGAAGACGUGAUCUAAGGCUUAGAACACGACUUCUAUCUGCCGAGCGUAGGCCACACCCCCCAUUAUUUUU
ensembl:miRNA xtr-mir-9407 xtr-mir-9407